rnacentral:rRNA from 1 species
AUUGAACGCUGGCGGCAGGCCUAACACAUGCAAGUCGAACGAGUGGCGGACGGGUGAGUAAUGUCUGGGAAAAUGCCUGAUGGAGGGGGAUAACUACUGGAAACGGUAGCUAAUACCGCAUACCAUCAGAUGUGCCCAUAUGGGAUUAGCUAGUAGGUGGGGUAAAGGCUCACCUAGUCGACGAUCCCUAGCUGGUCUGAGAGGAUGACCAGCCACACUGGAACUGAGACACGGUCCAGACUCCUACGGGAGGCAGCAGUGGGGAAUAUUGCACAAUGGGCGCAAGCCUGAUGCAGCCAUGCCGCGUGUAUGAAGAAGGCCGUCGGGUUGUAAAGGACUUUCAGCGGGGAGGCGUUACCCGCAGAAGAAGCACCGGCUAACUCCGUGCCAGCAGCCGCGGUAAUUC